UACAGAGGGUGCAAGCGUUGUUCGGAAUUAUUGGGCGUAAAGCGCGCGUAGGCGGAUCUGCAAGUCGGGGGUGAAAUCCCGAGGCUCAACCUCGGAACUGCCUUCGAUACUGCGGGUCUCGAGUCCGGGAGAGGUGAGUGGAAUUCCUAGUGUAGAGGUGAAAUUCGUAGAUAUUAGGAAGAACACCAGUGGCGAAGGCGGCUCACUGGCCCGGUACUGACGCUGAGGCGCGAAAGCGUGGGGAGCAAACAGG
rnacentral:rRNA from 1 species